AAGCUCUCUCGCUCUCUCUCACGGGCUUCUCUCCCCCAACCGUCUCUAUCUUCCAACCAACGCCACCUCCGCCAUCCGAUCAGAUUGCAUCCAACGGCUCAUCUCUCGCCACGUACCCUCCCUCUUUCUCUCCUCUCCAGUGCCUUCCACGAUCGCACCUUUUCUUCUCGAUAAUGCGAGCAGCGUCAUCCCACCAUUGGCGCUGUUAGAUCAGAACCGUCGAAUCAUUUUCAGCGAAGGAUCGAUCGGCGGUGACGAUCGGUCCGGGGAUGGACAUGCCGAUAAUGCACGACAGUGAUCGGUAUGAGCUCGUGAAGGACAUCGGGUCGGGGAACUUCGGCGUCGCCCGGCUGAUGAGGGAUAAGCAGACCAAGGAGCUCGUCGCCGUGAAAUACAUCGAGAGGGGCGAGAAGAUAGAUGAAAAUGUACAACGAGAAAUUAUCAACCACAGGUCACUGAGGCACCCCAACAUUGUUAGGUUCAAAGAGGUUAUAUUGACACCAACCCAUCUGGCCAUUGUGAUGGAAUAUGCGUCUGGUGGAGAGCUGUUCGAGCGUAUAUGCAAUGCGGGCCGCUUUAGUGAGGAUGAGGCCCGCUUCUUCUUCCAACAACUUAUAUCAGGAGUUAGCUAUUGCCACUCAAUGCAAGUUUGCCAUCGUGAUCUAAAGCUGGAAAACACCCUAUUGGAUGGAAGUCCUGCUCCUCGUUUGAAGAUAUGUGAUUUUGGGUACUCCAAGUCGUCUGUGCUGCAUUCACAACCCAAGUCCACCGUUGGGACUCCUGCUUACAUUGCUCCAGAAGUAUUACUCAAGAAGGAAUACGAUGGCAAGAUUGCAGAUGUGUGGUCAUGUGGAGUAACCCUUUAUGUCAUGCUAGUGGGUGCAUACCCUUUUGAGGAUCCCGACGAGCCGAAGAACUUUAGGAAGACGAUACAGCGUAUUUUGAGUGUGCAGUAUGCAAUCCCAGACUAUGUGCACAUAUCUCCCGAAUGCCGGCACCUGAUCUCGAGGAUCUUUGUUGCCAAUACCGCAAUGAGAAUAACCAUUCCUGAGAUCCAGAACCAUGAGUGGUUUCUAAAGAAUCUUCCUGCGGAUCUCAUGGAUGACAACACGUACCAGUAUGAUGAGCCCGAUCAACCCAUGCAGAGCAUCGAUGAGAUCAUGCAGAUCAUAGCGGAAGCCACCAUACCUGCAGCUGGGACACGUGGCAUCAACCAGUACCUGACAGGCAGCCUCGACAUCGAUGACGACAUGGAUCUGGAGACCGAUCCUGACAUCGACAUCGACAGCAGUGGGGAGAUUAUAUAUGCAAUGUGAUCGCCUAUGGCAUUUGGAAAGGCCAAGCUUUCAAGAAAAAUCUGGUGCUCGUGUCGAGCUGAAGUGGUGGAGGGCCCGGGCUGUGGGGCCCUGAUAUAAGCGACGGACGAUCAGGGAGUAAGUGGGUUCCAGGCGAUUCGCUGCCACUGAUUGCUGUCUGGUGAUCGGAGUUUCGUAUGUGUCCAUAAAAAGCAUAUAGCUUGACCCUGUCUGUGUAUGUAUGGAAGUUGCUUGCAAAGGGGGGGAUUUGAGGACAUGGAAAUGUGCUUGUUUUCUGAAAGCCUGCUGGUUGGUUAUUUCACUCUCGAAAUGCGGUUGUCAGACUCUUGUUUCGGGGACGUUUGGAUGCGUUUGUGAGUUGGAUUGCGGUAAUGAAUCCACUACAGCAGAAUCAACCAGACUUCAGGUUUACAUUCAUUUGGGGCAUGUAGUACCAGACUCAUUUAGACCUGUCAAAUAUUCUCAGGGAUUUUUAAAAUCUAGCCAUCUUUGUGUGGAAAUUUGAUAAAAUGAUAUUUAUAGAUAGAUUUUUAAAUCUGGGCAGUUUUUAA